rnacentral:rRNA from 1 species
AGAGUUUGAUCCUGGCUCAGAACGUACGCUGGCGGCACGCCUAAUACAUGCAAGUCGAACGAAGUAGCAAUACUUAGUGGCGAACGGGUGAGUAUAAUGUGGGUAUCUGCCUUUUGGUUUGGAAUAACAUGGGGAAACCUGUGCUAAUACCGAAUAAGCCUUUACGGGGAAAGUUUUAACGCCAAAAGAUGAGCCCGCACUUGAUUAGCUAGUUGGUAAGGUAAAGGCUUACCAAGGCUACGAUCAAUAGCUGAUCUGAGAGGAUGAUCAGCCACAUUGGGACUGAGACACGGCCCAAACUCCUACGGGAGGCAGCAGUAGGGAAUCUUGCACAAUGGGGGAAACCCUGAUGCAGCGAUGCCGCGUGAGUGAAGAAGGCCUUUGGGUUGUAAAGCUCUUUCGUCGGGGAAGAAAAUGACUGUACCCGAAUAAGAAGGUCCGGCUAACUUCGUGCCAGCAGCCGCGGUAAUACGAAGGGACCUAGCGUAGUUCGGAAUUACUGGGGCUUAAAGAGCACGUGUUUGGUUAGGAAGUUGGUUGUGAAUCCCAGGGCUUGACGCUUGGAACUGCCACCAAAACUUUUUAACUAGAGUGUGAUAGAGGUAAGCGGAUUUUCUAGUGUAGAGGUGAAAUUCGUAGAUAUUAGAAAGAACACCAAUUGCGAAGGGCAGCUUUCUGGGAUUAUUACUGACACUGAGGUGCGAAAGCAUGGGUAGCGAAGAGGAUUAGAUACCCUCGUAGUCCAUGCUGUAAACGAUGUGUGCUAGACGUUGGGAAUUUAUUUUCAGUGUCGCAGCAAAAGCGUUAAGCACACCGCUGGGGAGUACGACCGCAAGGUUAAAACUCAAUGUAUUGACGGGGACCCGCACAGUUAUUGAGCAUGUGGUUUAGUCGAAGAUACGCGCAGAUCCUUACCACCACUGACAUGUUUGUCGCGACUCUAAGAGAUUAGAGUCUUCGGUUCGGCCGGACAAAACACAGGUGCUGCAUGGCUGUCGUCAGCUCGUGUCGUGAGAUGUUGGGUUAAGUCCCGCAACGAGCGCAACCCUCACUUUUAGUUGCUACCAUUUAGUUGGGCACUCUAAAAGAACUGCCAGUGAUAAGCUGGAGGAAGGUGGGGAUGACGUCAAGUCCUCAUGGCCCUUACGUGUUGGGCUACACACGUGCUACGAAUGGUACUUACAGCGAGAUGCUAAGAGGCGGCUCUAAGCCAAAACUCGAAAAAGGUACCUCAGUUCGGAUUGCACUCUGCAAACUCGAGUGCAUGAAAGCUGGAAUUACUAGUAAUCGCGGAUCAGCGCGCCGCGGUGAAUACGUUCCCGGGUCUUGUACACACCGCCCGUCACACCAUGGUGAGUUGGUUACACCUUAAGACAGAGCGUGGGGACUUUGGCUACGGUACGAUUCAGCGACUGGGGUGGAGUCGUGACCGAGGUAACCCGAGGGCUAUUCGCGGCCGCUUUGAUUCGCAUCGCCCUUGUGUUUC